CGUACCCUACUUUUUCCUUUUGUUCUUUGUUUCUCCGCCCUCUGUCUCCACUUGCCCUCCCUUUCCAUCUUUUCUUUUUCUUGGAAAACAGCCCUUGAUAUCACCGGCUUCAGAGGGGAGAGGGCCCGGCCUUUUACCUUCCGUCAUCUCUCAUUUCGCCUUUUCGUUUUACGUCACUCUUUGUUUUGUGGUUUCCAGUUCACACGGCGUCAUACGCUGUCUGACGCAGACAAGCACACGCAGGCUUCCUCUCCUCUUCGUCUUGACCGCAUCGCACUUCAGUGCGGCUGCCAUCAUAGGCCCUUCCCGACCCACCCACGCCCGCCUCACCACACACCCCUGCUACCAACCUCAAAGGAAAACCAACCAAUAGCAAAAAAAAAACGUACUAAUCUGAAUCGCACCACUCUCGUACGAUGCGGUGGGCACAACCACACAUUCCGUUACGUCAUUACCCCUGAUUUUUUUUUCAUUUCUUGCCUGCUCUCGUCUUUCUCUUGAAGGUUCCGCCACUGCUCUCUCCACUCGGCUUUCUAGCACUCUUUGCGUCUCAUUUCUUUCCUCCGGCUUGACCGAAUCGCGCUUGCACGCCGUUUUUUUUUUGCCGAUCACCGCUAUAUACACAAGUGCGCACAUAUACGCACACUCCAACCUCUUCACUCAAAGGCAGUAGGAGAGAAGAGUGCAAGGCAGGAAGGGAGUGCGUCGCGCAGGGGACACGUUUGAUGACUGGCAAACCCGCUUUUACUUUCUCUCUCCAUCGAUGCUCCGCCUCUGCCUUGCAUUGCGCUCUGCUAGCGUGCAGCGGAAGCCGCACCUUUUCCGUAUCGACCUGACUUCGAAGCACACUCCAGGUCACCUUUACCUCGCCGAUCGUGCCGUCAAGUCCACUGCUGCGGACCCAUGCUUUGUGUGCCUCGACAACGCCAUGGCAUGCCAGACAGUGGAUUCGAACGCUGCGGUCGUGCUGCGCAAUUGCAUGACAAAGGGCCGGGAACUCUUCCAGUACGGGCGGAUGCGCUUUCAAGGCAUGAGUGCUGCCCUCGUGUUUCGUCAUAACCACCUCGUCUUCCAAGGCAUCGGCGAUGCUUCUGUGCAGGCUCUUGAAAUGUCGCUGCAGCACAAGGACAUUUUUGCGCUACUGGGCGGCAUCAGCCAGCAUGAGAACAUACCGGAGUGGGCGCGCGCUGUCGAGAAGGCCAUCGCCGAGGGUGACGUGGAGUACGUUGCGGAGGAGAUGCUGCUGCAGCUGCGGUGCCCCACGGAAGGCUGCACUUCGGUUGUGGCAAAGAUAUCCAAGUUCUCAGCAGGUCUGCCGGAGCCGCCGAGUUAUUCCCAUGCCAUGUAGGGAGACGGCACAGAAGAAAACAAAAAGGCGUUGUUUGGGAGUUUUGUUUGUGUUUUGUAUCAGCUCUUUCCUCUCGUGCGAAAAAAGGACGCAAGGAGGAAGCCGAAAACGCUAUCAGAAGGAACCAGCGGCCAAGCAAAGGAAAUGACGGAUUUUCUUUAUCUCAUAGUGGUGCAGGUGUGCUCGGCGCAUGUCACUUCGACCCCUGUACGUUGGGUAGGUAAAUCCACACAGAGGCAAAAUAGAGGCGUUCAAUCACGUACUUGUGCGGGGCUGACUGUGUGGAGGUCAGACUGAGGUCACAACCCCCCCUUCUCCACCACACGCAUACACGCACAUUCUCAGAUUUACGUCUGUUUGCCGAGGCACAGGCACAUACGUGCACACUUGAGUAGCUCCAAGCUGAACCGUCAUUGAUAGCAACACCACCCGCACACACACACACACACACACACGCGAAGUGAUAAACAAUAAACACUAUUCCUUUCUCUCUCUGUUUCUCUCCUUUCUUUUUCUGUGUGUGCGGGUGCAUGUAUUACAGAGAAGUUUCUUUUUCUCUUCGUUCUCACGUUUUUUUUUCGGCGUCUGAUUUGUUGUUUUGCGCGGUUCUUUCGAGGUUGUUUCACUUUACUUCCCCCCUCUCCUUUCUCGUUUUGCGUUUCAUUCGUGGCCAGCAACCACGCGCUCUGUUCUGCGACUCUCCUUGCUUCACGUUUGUUUCUUUUGUAAGCCUACUAAAUGUGUGCGUGUUUGUGUGUGUGUGUGUGCUCCGCUGCCAUGCGGGGCCUUUUUCUUUAUUGAGCGGUGGCGGUGGUUCGCCGUCUCUCUCUCUGUUCUGUAUGUUUGUAUCUCUUGCUUUUUUGUUUCGCUCCUUUUGGCUCUUGUCCUCUCGCGCUUUCUUCGUCUCACGCUGCCGUUCCUGUUCUCUGUCACUUUUUUUUCUGGUUUCUUUGCCCUCUCUCUCUCUUUACCUUUCACUGCCCGUCUAGCUCCCCCAUCUCUCUCUCUCCUUCUUUUCACUCUUUCUCUGUAUGUUGACUGCUUUACUGCCCCCAACCCCCUCCCCCUCCCUAGCUCCACUCUUUUUUUUUCUUCCCGCCCCACGCCCACAAUGCUUUCCCUUCUUUCAACUUCGCCAUCCCUUCUCAGAAUGUGUGUCACUUCAGUGGAGAGAGAAUGCGAUUAUGCCCGUGUUUUUGUUUUGUUGGCUUGCUCCUGCCUUCUCUCUUCUUCCUGUGCUGGUGCACGCCGUAUUGGUGGAUGCCUGAUUGUAGCUAUGGCAAACCAAUUUCUCUAUACUUCUUUUAUCGAUGCACUUUCUUUGGCAUGGGCUAGCGAAGUAUCCUCCGUCACGUGAUGCUGCCUUGUUUUCCCCUUGCCCUACCGCCACACAUUUGUGUACCUAUUUAGCAUAUAUGUAUAUAUAUUUUAUAUCCAUGGAGCGCAUCAUCAUGCGGUGAUUGUUCAGUGGUGCGGUACACGCGAAGCGGAAAAACAGAGGACAUUUGCAAGCGCAACAGCCGAAAAAAAAGUUGAAACAACGCCGAGUUUUUUUUUGUUUUGGUUUCUCCCCCUUUCUGCAAGUCGUGGAUGUCGGGGAGGGUUUCCAAUUGAGGACGGGCCAGAGAGCGCAAACAACCAAAGAAGCAUCCACGUACUAGUGAAGGUGUGGCUGAAUGGGUGUGUGAUUGCACAAGGGGGGGGGAAGGGGCAAAAGGGAGUGAGGGAAUCGGCUGCGCAGGAGACCCCCUCCCCCAAAGAAGCAAAAAAAAGGACGCGAACAAAAAUGCAAGAGAGAUGCAGGCAAGAUAAGAAUAAUAUACACGCACGCCAAUUAGCCACAACCAGAUAGCAUAAGCAAAUAUGGGAGGAAAGAGGAGGGGAUUAUCGGCAGAACCUACGCCAAAGGAAACAGGAAGAGCACCGGGCAUCUUUACACCUCUGUCUUGGCUCCUACUCUUUUCUAGAGCCUUUUUUGGUGUCGCCGAUCUCUUCGCCCUCUCUCUUUUCCUCUUCCCCUUUCUCCGUCUGAAGGCGUCUCUCUCGCUGUGGCGAUGCGCUUACAUGUUUGCUCAGGGUGUCGCUCUGCAUGCAUGCUCCACUUUUGUGUGCCUUUGGAGAAAUAUGUGUGGAUCCAUGUUGUCUGGCUGUACUCUGUGCGGCAAACAACGGCAGCGGAAGCUCGCACUCUCCUCCCCUCCCUCAACCCCAAGAAAAGAAAGACAAAAAGAAAUCGGAAGAAAAAUUUCGGAGUGAAUAAAACGGGGAAAAACGAAAUGGUGAGGGGAAAAGGGAAGAAGAAGCACCCGGACAGAACGCAUGAGACUCUUUUUUUUUUGUCUGUGUGCUGUGCUUUUACCAAGCCGUUUGACAAUGACGCAUCGAUGCUGUCUCGUGUGUGCGCUUUUUCUUGUUCACCUUUUCUGCCGUCUUUCCAGCAGCGCCUUGUCCUUCCUCCGUCUCCUUUCUGUUUUCUUUCGAGCCAUGUCUUCUGUCCGCACUCUUGCGUCUCCGUCUGCUUUUCUCAGGGCUCGAUUUGGCUUCUCUCCAUCUCUCUCUUUUCGGUUGUGAGCCAACGCCGACGACGGUGCCUUACUUCUUCCUUUUCCCUUUUUCCUUUUUUUUUGCCUAUUUCAUUUUAGUGUGUCCUUUUUUAUUUCUUUGUGUCGUUGUACUGUUUAACAUUUCGGUUGCUUAGUUCGCAGUGGCUAAUGAGUGAUUGCGCAUGGCAGAGACCGAGCAGAAAGAGAACAACACGAGGCGCAGCAUACAAAUCAAGCGUUUUGGUUUCGUGCAAAGUAGGAAAAAGGAAAUUUUAGGAAGAAAAAGGGAAUCCAUCAGAGAGGUGACUGCAGUCUUUUCUUUUUUGAAGUGUGGUGCUUUCACGUGUAUCUGUCGACGCUGUUCAAGGUGAAGAAGGCGCGAAAAAGAAAGAGUAGUAGUGACUCUCUUCUUGAAUGCUCUCUUUCUCUCUUUGCGUCUCUCUCAUGUGCAUAUGUUGCUUUACGUGUGCUACCUCUGUCGUGAUUUUGUUUCGCCUUCGCCUACUUUUCUCAUUUUUCACCCGUGCUCUUUCGAAUCUAAAUGCAUAUCUGCGUGUCUUGCUCUGUCCAUAUGCAUGUGUAGUCGUUGAGGUGGUAUCUUGCAGAUGGAGAGGAGAGAGUGGCCGGGGAAUGGAAAGUUUCGCCUGAAGAUUUAGACGAAACGAUAUUAGAAGUCCGCCCACUCGCCUAUUCGCCGCUUCAUCGUCCUUCUCUUCCACCAUCUUCCUGUACUUCUGCGUGUAUGCUUCGCGGUGCGUGCUCUGCUUCGUUUUCUUCGUGAGUAUUGCUCACGGGGGCGGCACUUUCUUUUUGUCCCCCCUCUUUCUGAAGCCAACCUUCUCACAGCGACAGAAGUAAACCUCCACCUUUUUUCGAUGAUUGCACUUCACAUUACACUGCAAUGCGCAGAAUCACCUACACCGACCCAAAUAUAUGGGCGAACGGUACUUACUGACGUGCUCUCACACGCUGCCUUCUGCAGGCAGCAAGGCAGCUCUGUUUUCGGCUUCGGCUUUUGUCUCUCUCUUUUAAUGUCGUGGCAUCCCAUUUUUCACGGAGAGAUGGUCUGCCGCCAGAACCGAAGGGGUUCAACAAGGAGUGCGACAAACCAGCGCUCAUCACGCGCCUAUGUGUGCGUAGGUGUGCUUCGUGACGGCGUGCAAUUAGGAUCUCUUGUAGCCAUCACUGCGUGCUCUUUUGUAAUUUGCUUUCCACUACCCUUCCCUUCCCCCUCCCUUUCCCCUCCCUUCCCCCCUCAUCAUCAUCGCCCUCCCUUUAUCCCUCUUUUUCGUGUUUAAGUGAAGUCCCCUUUUGCUUUAUUUAUUUUUGCUGUUCUUUGUUUGUGUGCAUUCUUGUCCUUUUUUUUUGUAUGUGCGCCUUCUUCUCCGACUAUGCUUUUUGCAUGAGCUCAAAAACAACAACAGAAAGGGCACCGAAGAAAAAGAAAAAGAGUCAUUGUGCCUCCCUGCCCUCCCCAUCUUAUCUGUCUCGCCUCUCUUACUCUCCCUCAUUCUACUUUUUUGGGCUGGGGGGGGUGGGGUGAUGCUGUACUUUGGGACUACACGCGCACCUAUACACGCUAACAGAUACGCGAACACAGCCUUCAGCUCAUGUGUCUUGCCUUUUUUUCACUUUUAUUUCUCUUUUUACCCUCCUUUCUGUGUGCCCUUGUUCACCGUACAGAGCAUACGUAGGAAUGCCCACCAGAAGUGCUGCGAGGCAUCCCAAUACAUUCGGAAACGUCGCAUUGCACCCACCUGUCGCUUUUUUCCUUCUCUUUGUCUGCCUCCCUUUUCACGGCAUCCGAAACAGAAAGAAGGCAAAACGAUGCGCCUACUUCACAAGUAGUCCGGGCACCCCGUUUGCGUUGACAGUGCCACGCAACACGCGCAGCGGGCCAAUCUACUACAGUGUCUUUUGUUUUUUUUCUGUGUUUUUCUGACUUUCGAUUCCGAUGUUUCUUUUCUCGUUUCUCUAUUUCUCUCGUCUGUUGUCUUGCUUCUCAUGGUUGCUCUUGUCAUGUUUGCGUGUCAGUGGGCCUCUCGGCCUCCCUUCUGCUACCUCUCCUUUUUCCAGCUAACCGCAUCUUCUCAACAGCCAUUCCAGCUGUCGUUCACCAACCACCCGAGUGCGAGUACAGACGACAUGCAAAACAACGAGGAGAACUGAUGUAUGUGACCCCCGUGCAACAUCACCCGGGCCAAACUAUGACGAAGAGCAAGGAAAACCAAAGAUAAGCAAAAGAAAGAGAAAAACUUUAAGAAGUAGCGGUUGCGCACGUCUGCGCGCUCAUGUUUUUGCCACCUCCAAUGAACUGAGCACUGCCACCUGCACCUACUCGCAGGUGCACACUCGGACUCAGAGGAAAGCGAAAGGGGCUCGAGGACAGCGUAUCUCUAGCUCUGUGCGGACUCACAUGCCUGAUUUGCACACAGCUACAGAUUACACUUAGCCCUCCGCCAGAAAAGAAAAGCCCCACCCUGCACCUUCCCCCCACCUCACCUCAGCAUGCUAACCUCUUUUUUUUUGAAUACGUUUUUGCUUUCUUCGGUCAUACACGUGUGCGUGUGUGUGCUUUGGUUUCUUCGCUGUUUCCUGUUCUCCAGGUUUUUCCUUGCCUUUUUCCUUGCGUGUGUGUGCGUGUGUGCCCCUGCUUUACUUCAAUUUCUUUUUUUUUCUUUCGUUCAAUGUUGCUCUCUUCUCUGUUUGCUUCUGUGUUUCCACUGGAUGAGCCUUGAUGCGGAAAGGAGGCCCGUGAACACAGCUGUACCUCUAUGGAGUGCGGUGUAAGAAAUAAGUCUCUCUGCGUGUGUGCGUGGGCGCGCUUUUUUCGCCGUUUCACUUCUGUGUAGUUUGGGCACUUCUUUCUACCUCGUCUUUGUGCGACCCCUCGUCCCUUUCCAUUGCUUCAACUCUCCUCCUCCUCAACGCAUCGUCGCCUUUUUUCCUCCGCACCUUCCGUCUUUCUCCCUGCGGAGAGGGGAAGGCAGGAGCUGGUAGAGGUGUGGCGAGGCUUAUGUAAAGGGGGGAAGGGAAAGUCAAAGGUACGGGAACGAUGCAGGCAGACAUACAGGAUGCUUGAUAGACGGGUGAGAGACAGAGGCUCGACGAAAAGGACACAGAAGCAGCCCCAAGAGAGGUUUGCAGUAUCUCUUCCCUCUUCCCUCUUCCCUCACUCUCACCUUCAUGUCUCACCUCUUCCUCCACCGCAUUAUACAACGUUGACCGGAGACGUUUCCAUGUCUUCUCCCUCCCUCCCGUACUACCCCAUCACGAUUUGCCCCGUUCUCCGGCACCCCCCUCACAUCGCCCUUUUUAG
rnacentral:misc_RNA from 1 species